rnacentral:rRNA from 1 species
CAAAAACAUGUCCUUUUGUGUUUAUUUAAGGUUUGACCUGCCCAAUGAGGAGUUUAAUGGCCGCGGUAUUUUAACUGUGCUAAGGUAGCAUAAUCACUUGUCUUUUAAUUGGAGGCUAGAAUGAAUGGUUGGACGAGGCACUUACUUUCUUUAGCUUAUAGUAUGAAUUUAAUUUUUUAGUUAAAAAGCUAAAAUUUAUUUAAGGGACGAGAAGACCCUAUAGAUCUUUAUAUUUGUUAAGAUUAAAUAUUUUAGUUGUUAAUUUGAUUUGAUUUUAUUUUUUAUUGAGUUGGGGCGACUUUAGAAUUUCAUUAACUUCUUUUUUAAUAUUCAUGAAUUAGUGUGUAAAUGAUCCAAAGUAUUUUGAUUAUAAGUUUAAGUUACCUUAGGGAUAACAGCGUAAUUCUUUCGGAGAGUUCAUAUCGAUGAUGGAGUUUGCGACCUCGAUGUUGGAUUAAAAUAAGUAAUGGAUGUAGCAGUUCAUUUACUAGGUCUGUUCGACCUUUAAAGUUUUACAUGAUCUGAGUUCA